AGGAGGAACAGCCCCAGUGGCGGGGCCAGCUCUGGAGCCCUGGAGUCACCCCCGCAGGAACUCCGGAGCUCUCCGUCUGCAGGGCCUGGAGGCUCCGGGGCGGG
rfam:Canis lupus familiaris chromosome 7, whole genome shotgun sequence.